GACGGAGGGUGCAAGCGUUGCUCGGAAUCACUGGGCGUAAAGGGCGCGUAGGCGGUCUCGCAAGUCUGGCGUGAAAGCCCAAGGCUCAGCCUUGGAAGUGCGGUCGAAACGGCGAGGCUGGAGUGCCGGAGGGGAGAGUGGAAUUCCCGGUGUAGCGGUGAAAUGCGUAGAGAUCGGGAGGAACACCUAUGGCGAAAGCAGGUACCUGGGCCUUUACUGACGCUGAGACUCGAAAGCUAGGGGAGCAAACAGG
rnacentral:rRNA from 1 species